rnacentral:rRNA from 1 species
AUUGAACGCUGGCGGCAGGCCUAACACAUGCAAGUCGAACGAGUGGCGGACGGGUGAGUAAUGUCUGGGAAACUGCCUGAUGUAGGGGGCUAACUACUGGAAACGGUAGCUAAUACCGCAUACCAUCAGAUGUGCCCAGAUGGGAUUAGCUAGUUGGUGGGGUAACGGCUCACCAAGGCGACGAUCCCUAGCUGGUCUGAGAGGAUGACCGGCCACACUGGAACUGAGACACGGUCCAGACGCCUACGGGAGGCAGCAGGGGGGAAUAUUGCACAAUGGGCGAAAGCCUGAUGCAGCAAUGCAGCGUGUAUGAAGAAGGCUUUCGGGUUGUAAAGUACUUUCAGCGGGGAGGCGGUACCCGAAGAAGAAGCAACGGCUAACUCCGUGCCAGCAGCCGCGGUAAUUC